UUCCUGGCAGUCCAACAGUUAGGGUUCUGUGCUUCCACUGCAGGAGGCGCAGGUUUGAUUCCUGCUUGGGGAA
rfam:Ovis aries breed Texel chromosome 9, whole genome shotgun sequence.